UACAGAGGAGCCAAGCGUUGUCCGGAUUGACUGGGCGUAAAGCGCUCGCAGGCGGCUCGAUGCGUCGUGCGUGAAACACCCCGGCUCAACUGGGGAGGGUCGUGCGAUACGGUCGGGCUUGAGGCCAGUAGGGGGAUGCGGAAUUCCGGGUGUAGUGGUGGAAUGCGUAGAGAUCCGGAGGAACACCAGCGGCGAAGGCGGCAUCCUGGACUGGUACUGACGCUCAGGAGCGAAAGCGUGGGGAGCGAUCCGG
rnacentral:rRNA from 1 species